GAUUGCUUCUUUGUGGAGUUUACUGUGAGCCUUCAACACUGCCACAGACAGCACUUACUUGGCUCCGACCAGACACUGCUAGCUUUGCAAGGGUAGAGAACCUGUCUCCAGAAAAAGCUGGGGCUGGAGAGCUGGGUUCCACAGCCGGAGGGCUCCUCUCUGCCUCGUCCCGCAGCUCCUGCGGCAGCCCCGCCGACCGGCCAAGGGCCUCCACCUGCCGAGCCAGACGCUCCAGCUGCACCCGCAGGCGCUGGUUCUCCUGCUGCAGCUCCGAGACGGUGCGUGCCAGUGGGCUAGCGAGGCGCAGCACCUCAUCCACCUGCCGGCUCACGCCUUGCUUGAACACCUGAAUGUCCACGUGGAUCUCCCGGACAGCGCCUCGCAGCGUGUCUUCAUAGCGCCCCAACGCCUCGCAUACCGUCUUUGCUUCGCGGCUGUUCAGGAAAGGCCGGGCGUGGCGGGAUGAAGGCGGUGUUAUGGAACCAGACCUGGAGGAGGUCGAGGAUGCAGAGUUUGUGCGUGAAGUGAGUGAGCAGGAAAUGGCAGCUGGGCAGGAAUGAGAGCAAGUGAAGAGGUCAUCAUCUCAUCUUUCCUGGGUUGCUUGCAUGACGAUGCUGAAGUAAACAGUAUGUAUUCCUUCCUGGAGGAGCAUGAAAACAAAGGAAGAUAAUUGGCUCUGAGAGACAUUCUGGAGAAAUGCACAUAUAUGCACCUUUCACUGAGGGGAGAAUCACCUCCCACAACCCGUUGACCAUAUUUCUUUAUUCAAUAGAGCAUGGAACAGAAAUGUGACAUCCUGCAUGCUCUUUAAUCAGAGAAAGUUUGAAGUGGAGGAACUACCCGGCUGGCUUUUUUUGUCAGUGUACUUUUUACUCCUCUGCUACUUUCAGAACCACUUUAUGCUUUGUAGCAAAGUGUGACAAUAUAGUAUGUUUACAUCUUUUCAGUCCUGGCAUACCAGCUCACUUUGCAGUACACAAGAAAUACACACGUCAGCGCUGUAUUCGUGCAGUAUGCAAGAAAUCUAGAUGUACAAAUCAAAGCCAUGCAUGCUGCAGAGAUCUUAAUGGCAUGAAAUAUGAUCUUAGCAAGUGCACAUGAACAGACUGUGAGUGCUCUUGAUGCAAUCUCUCAGUGUGUUGCGCACAAAUCAGUGUGGCAUGUUGCAGUCAUAAUUCCAGAACCCUUAAAAUCAGUUGUGCCCAAGAGUGUAUUUUAAGUCAUUCUCUGAUGUAUUUCCAUAGUUGAGAUUUGUUCCCACUUGAAUCUCAUUUCUCAGUUUUAGUUCCUCAAGUCUCUUUUCAUUUAUUUGAACAGGGCACUCAGUGCAGGGACUGGCCACUGGGCUCAUCUUCCCACUGCUGCUGACCUUCCAGCAAUCACUGCACAAGUCACUUAAUUUUUUAGCCUGCUGAGGCUUUAAGACCCUUUAUGCUCUUCUGUCAGAACUGGGAUAACAGGUGGUGGAUGUGAUUUCUGUUUGCGGUCAGCUUUUAUUUAAAAGGCUAGAUGCUCAUAUAAAGAAAGAAGGGGGUUCUUACUCCACAGUAGCUAGGACAUGUUAUGGGGUUCUGUUACCAGAUCUUUCUGGAGAACACUGUUGGUGACUUUUACAUUUGAUACCACAAUUAAGAAUUGUAAACAACAAGAUAUCAUUCACAUUUCCACACUGGAACAGUAUGUUUUAUGGAAACAAUAUCUUGUUAAGGAAAUCCAAGAUCAUGUUUAUCACUUCCCACUAUCCAGGGUCUGAAAAUAAAAACGUGUUUUCUCCCAGCAAUCAGGAGGUAUCCCUCCAAAGCUUAUGGGGCUGUACUGGGAUGAAAUGAGUGUGAGGAAAGCAGGGGAGCAUAGCCCACUAGUUGUGGAGUUGUUCUGCCCAGGUGAGAAGGAGGGUAAACUCCCUUUUGCAACAAUCACAGAGUCAUGGAAUUGUAGGGGUUGGAAGGGACCUCUAAAGAUCAUAGAGUCCAGCCCUCCUGCCAAAGCAGGCUCUCUAUCGCAGGCUGUGCAGUUCCAGACCUGUCCAGACAGGUCUUGAAUAUCUUCAGAGAGGGAGAAUCCACAACCUCCCUGGGCAGCCUGUUCCAGUGUUCCAUCACCAUUACUGUGAAGAAGUUCUUUUGUAUAUUGAUGCAGAACUUCCCAUGCUCAAGUUUGUGGGCAUUACCCCUUGCCCUGUCCCCAUGGACCACUGAAAAUAGGUUGGCUAUGUCCCUUUGUCUCCCACACUUAAAAUCCCCCUCUUCUUUUCUCAAGGCUGAACAGACCCAGGUCACUCAGCCUUUCUUUGUAGGGGAGAAGUUCCAGCCUACAUCUUUGUGGCCCUCCACUGAACUCUUUCCUUGAGAUCCCUGUCUUAUCUGCACGGUGGAGCCCAGAAGUGGAUGAGGCCUCCAGGUGAGGCCUGACCAGGGCAGAGUAGAGGGGGAGGAUCACCUCCCCGAACAUGGUCAUUUUAAUGCACCCUGAUGGCUCAUGGACAACCUGUCAUCCACCAGGACCCACAGGUCCUUCCCCGCAGAUCUCCUUUCCAGCAGGUCAUGCCCCAACCUGUACUGAUACUUGCAGUUAUUCCUUCCCAGGUAUAAAAUUCUAUAUUUGCUUUUGUUAAAUAUCAUCUGGUUUCUUAUUGCCCCCAAUAUGGUAACUUAUUUCGGAUUACCUUUCUGUUCUUUGUUAAGUGUUACAGUCCCUUCUGUCCCCAAAAGACACACAGAUAGAAAGGAACUCACCAUUUUUUCCGUGCAUGUGAAUGUCUGAGAUGAAGAAUGAGCUGGGGAAUCCUCACAGGCAACAUAAAUGCUUUCUAGAAACAAUUUAAAGUUGUUCAUAUUUCAGACCUUGAAAAAAGACAUCCUAUGAACACAGGCUAGCCUAAGAGCAAAGUAAUCCACUAGUAUUAAUAUACCCAGGAUUUAAAGAGGUGCCUUAGACAUAAAAAUACUUUGGUUAACGUAAAUAACAGAAACAGAUCCUAGAAUCAGACAAGUUGAAAACUGCUUUUCCAAUGAGGUUUCACAGCUGGAUGGCUGUGAAAAUUACAGUAUUUCAGCAACUAGAUAAGGGGCUGUAAACAUAGUUAAUAUUAGAAAUUAUUUAUGAUCUCAGCAGCUUAUCUGAAUCAUUAGCUUUGCUCUGAGAAGCUUGUUUGAAAAUAGUAGAAGAUAACAACCACCUUGUGCAGGCUAACAGCCAAGAGUCUCCAGGUGCUUAACGUAACUGACAGGCAACUUUUCUGUUCUUGGCAUCAGGAAUUAUCACAACACAACAAUAACAAUGGUAGAGAAAUAACAGUGUGUGUGCGCUAAGCAUAUGUUUGCAAUAUGUGCCAGAGUAAUUCAUGGACAUCAAAAGGAGCAUCCAUUCCCAGAUCCUGCAAGGUCUUUCAGCACUUGUUGCCAUGUUCACUCACUUCAAAAAGGACUGGCAGAGCUAACAGUCUCUACAGCACACUAGGGUGCCAAGCCCUGUCAAGGAUAACGCUUAAGAGAUAGCAGUUGCUACCAUGGUUGCAAACUUUGUUUUCUCAAUAGUGAUCUCAAAUAACAUUGAGGCCCAGUCAUCCUCUUCUCAGAAAAUCGCUAUCUGAUCAUGUGUCUGACAGCAUUCCAUGGGCAGUUCCAAUUCUUUCCAGAUCAAAGUUCUAACUUUUCAUGGCAGUAGGCAACAUGAUACUCUGGCCCGGCACCAGCUUAUACAGGACUGCCAGGCAAGGGAAAGGCUUCAGCAAUGGGACAUUUUUUGUAAGCACCUGUCCCAGAGUGCUCUGUUACAGAAGAGGUGGAAAAAAUCUACUGUCGCUUCACUAAAACCAGAUCCUUAAUCACAUCUCCUACUUAGCACCUGCUUCAUCAUGCACUGCAUCUUAAAAUGUGGCUUAUUAUUAGCUAUUAUUUUCCACAGCACUCAGCCUACCCAGUUUGGGGCACAGAGGUGAUAUAUCACUGAAAAAUCCAAGAUUGGGCUACAAGUGAGCAAAAAGGAGAAGUAAACAAAAGCCAUACAGGUCUCUGUUAUGCUGUGAGAGUUACCCAGGCUGAGGAUCUCACAAGCAAAUCUCUGAGAGGAAGAAUGAAAAAUUAAUACCACAGUCACUGACUUUUGGAUUUUGCAUGUGAAAGAAGUAGGGCCACCCAACACUAUAGGAAACAACUGGUCUGCAGUCAUCACCUUGACAUCCUUUAAGGAUGUAAAAUAUUUGCAUGCUUCCAUGGCCCUGAAGUUGCCAAAAGACAUGCAAAACUCCCACUCAAAUGGCUAGCAUUUUUGUUUCCCCAGUCAGCUAAUUGUUUGUUUGUUCCAAGAAACACCUUUGCCAAACCUCUGAAGAGUAUCAGGAACGUUAGGAGACCAGCAGCAUGCUGCUCUUCCUCAUGCUUUGAGUGUAAUCUGCUGUUAGGUACUCCACUAUCCUGCCUUGCAUUCCCCAAACACUUCAUAAACUACUCCAACUUUGAUUGUGCACCAGGCUUUUAAGCCGUUUAUUGGGCAAGGGACUGACAGCAGUUUUCCUGAGCGAUAAUGCUGGUUGAUGAGCUCCUUGAGUAUCCUUAGGAAACCAUCAAACACAUGCCUGUGCACAACAUAACAUUCCUACCACUUGAUCAUGGCCUAAUCAGUAUGUAUCUUUAUCUGUUCUUCCGACUGAAGAUUUUUCCACACACCUACCCCCUCAGAAUUCUUUGCUUUUUCAGCUCCAUACCCCUCCCAGCUUCCUACAACCUGUUCUGUUGUUUUGUAUUGUUUUGGAGGGAAAUCCUAAGUGUUAAAACAUGCUAACAGCCUAUUUUACUCUUGGCUGCCGUGUGUUUUUGGCCUAUGUGACAUGGGUGACAUAUUUAACUUUCAUUAAGCCCCUGACUACAAGAGCAAUUGGCAAUAGAGUCAGACUUUUACUAAGGGCUGUCAUUUAAUGUUAGCCAUACGUUUCCUGAAAAGACUUUACUGAAGACAGAGCCCAGGCCUUACAUAUUCACAUGAAGCAUAGUGGCAGGAAGGACCUGAGGCUUUUAAUAGAGGUACAUAUAUAUGUGCUGUGCCAGUAAUUUAAAUUAUAACAGCAAACAUUCCAGUUGCAGCUUUAAUACCAGAAAAUAAAUCUGUAGUUAUUUUAAUAGUUCCUGCAGUUAUUUGAGAUAUGUAGCUAUGCUGCUAAAAUCUGAAUGCAGGCUUUGGUCUUGAUUUUGAAAAUUGUAUAUACAAAGUAUUUGUUUAUUUUAUGAAAAGAUAUGUCACACCAUAUGUCAAACCAAUAGCCCAGCACUCCAAAGAGAAAGGGCAUGGAAAAUGUGGUGGGUGAGUAGAAUAUUGGUAGGGGCGUGCCAUAAGUAUGUAAGAAAGAAUAUUAACAUGGAAACUCAAAACAAACUGGGGCUACAGAUGAAUUGUGAUGCAACUCCUUCAACCUCAGUGGAGUCACAUUUUGUUUCCAGUGAGCCAUCUCCUCCGCCAGUGCUGGCUUCAUGUCUGAUCUUAUGUAAAUUACUAAACAUGCAUUAUUUCACUGGUUCUAUUCUCUCUUCCUUGCUAAUCAGAGACUAAAAAGAAACCUACCUCAGCUGCUUAUAAAUUCACAGUUGUGGAACUAGUGAGGACCUUGCAUAAGAGACUGCCUUUCAGCUACAGCAACCCACUAUAAUAGCAAGGUUAUGAGAGUAUAAUUUGAACUUGUUAUCUUUGGAACUGAAAAGAACUAGAACCUCAUGGCAUACAUUACAUAUAUUUCAAAAAAGCAGCUGUCAAAACAAAAGGGAAGACAAUAGAAAGACACAAUCUCAGUGUAACUGCUAUCCAGCAUUAGCAGUCCUAGACUAACUGAAGUUGCUAAAUAUAUUUACAUAUAGUGCAAAGCCAUUUCCCCAGGCAUCUGCCAUCUAGCAGAAUAGAGCAUCGUGAUAAUGUAAGUACAUGGGUAUUUCAGAGGGAUCUUCCACAUUUGGUCACAGUACCAUGAAGACUGGACAGUUCACAGAUUAUGAUCUCAAACAUGGAGAAGCAGAUUCCUUAUCCUGCAAGUGGGACAGUAGUUGGUUAACUGACAGCACAACAAGCACUACCUAAGUGCUCAGUCUUGUUAUUUGGGGGGCUGUGGGAAGAAUACAUCUGCAUGGAAAAUAAAAGAACGUGCCAUGAUCA